rnacentral:rRNA from 1 species
UACGAAGGGGGGCUAGCGUUGCUCGGAAUUACUGGGGCGUAAAGCGCACGUAGGCGGCUCUUUAAGUCGGAGGUGAAAUCCUGGAGCUCAACUCCAGAACUGCCUUCGAUACUGGCGAUCUUGGAGUCCGGGAGAGGUGAGUGGAACUCCGAGUGUAGAGGUGAAAUUCGUAGAUAUUCGGAAGAACACCAGUAGCGAAAGGCGGCUCACUGGCCCGGUACUGACGCUGAGGUGCG